AGUGAACGCUGGCGGUAGGCCUAACACAUGCAAGUCGAACGGCAGCACAGUAAGAGCUUGCUCUUACGGGUGGCGAGUGGCGGACGGGUGAGGAAUACAUCGGAAUCUACUUUUUCGUGGGGGAUAACGUAGGGAAACUUACGCUAAUACCGCAUACGACCUACGGGUGAAAGCAGCGGAUCUUCGGACCUUGCGCGAUUGAAUGAGCCGAUGUCGGAUUAGCUAGUUGGCGGGGUAAUGGCCCACCAAGGCGACGAUCCGUAGCUGGUCUGAGAGGAUGAUCAGCCACACUGGAACUGAGACACGGUCCAGACUCCUACGGGAGGCAGCAGUGGGGAAUAUUGGACAAUGGGCGCAAGCCUGAUCCAGCCAUACCGCGUGGGUGAAGAAGGCCUUCGGGUUGUAAAGCCCUUUUGUUGGGAAAGAAAAGCAGCAGGUUAAUACCCCGCUGUUCUGACGGUACCCAAAGAAUAAGCACCGGCUAACUUCGUG
rnacentral:rRNA from 1 species